rnacentral:lncRNA from 1 species
CUCGAGAUAAGAAUUUCUCCUUUAAUUUAUUUUACUCUCCUCAUUUACAGUCAAUAUUUCUAACAAUGUAUUUUUCUUUUGCAGCUAGCCCAUGAUGUCAUUGUCCUUAGCAAGGGCUUCGUUGGUUUUAACCAAGUGAAUCUCUCACUGGAGGAGAAGCCAAAAGCCUCCAAUGCCUCGAUGGAGGCCACUGAGAGGGUGAAGAAGGUGGCCAAGAAGGAUGCUUCCCAAGCUAGGUCUGAGCUCCUGGCUACUCGGGAGAAGACCAGUGCCCUCAAAGGCCUCAUUGCAGUGGAAUGGGAUGCCACCG